CGGGAUGUGGCUUAGUCUGGUUAAAGUGCUGGUCUGGGGGACCAGAGAUCGGGAGUUCGAAUCUCCCCAUCCCGA
rnacentral:tRNA from 1 species